UACGAAGGGGGCUAGCGUUGUUCGGAAUUACUGGGCGUAAAGCGCGCGCAGGCGGUCCUUUAAGUCAGGGGUGAAAGCCCAGAGCUCAACUCUGGAACUGCCUUUGAAACUAGAGGACUUGGGUACGGGAGAGGUGAGUGGAAUUCCGAGUGUAGAGGUGAAAUUCGUAGAUAUUCGGAAGAACACCAGUGGCGAAGGCGGCUCACUGGCCCGUUACCGACGCUCAGGCGCGACAGCGUGGGGGAGCAAACAGG
rnacentral:rRNA from 1 species